rnacentral:rRNA from 1 species
UACGUAGGGUGCAAGCGUUGUCCGGAAUUAUUGGGCGUAAAGAGCUCGUAGGCGGUCUGUCGCGUCGGCUGUGAAAACUCGGGGCUCAACUCCGAGCUUGCAGUCGAUACGGGCAGGCUAGAGUUCGGCAGGGGAGACUGGAAUUCCUGGUGUAGCGGUGAAAUGCGCAGAUAUCAGGAGGAACACCGGUGGCGAAGGCGGCUUCCUGGACCAGAACUGACGAUCAGGCACGAAAGCGUGGGGAGCAAACAGG